GUCUUCAAGCUGGAUUUCGCUAAGGCGUUCGACUCCAUCGCCUGGUCGAGCCUUCGACGGAUCAUGGAGGUCCGGGGGUUCCCGGCUCUUUGGUGCGAUUGGAUGGACAUCAUCCUCCAUUCCUCCAAGGCCGCGGUCCUCCUCAACGGUGUGCCGGGACACUGGUUCGCAAUUCUGAAAGGGCUGCGCCAGGGAGACCCCAUCUCUCCGUACCUGUUCCUCCUGGUCGCGGACGUUCUUCAACGCAUGAUCAAGGGCGACGGGGCUCUCGGUCACCCCCUGGUGGCGGGGGCACCGGCGGUGGUCCUCCAGUACACGGACAACAUGCCGAUCAUCAUGCGUACUGGCCACGUGGCUGCGGCGCGGCUCCGGGUCAUCCUUGACCUCUUCGCGGCAGCUACCGGCCUCGUCAUCAACUUCUCCAAAAGCACGCUCGUCCAGAUGAACGUCGAGCACGGGGUUCUCGCCUCUGUCCUGGCGUCCUUUGAGUGCACUGUGGAGGCCUUCCCUCAGUCGUACCUCGGCUUGCCUCUCUCGUCCGACAAGCUCAAGCUCGACGACUUCGCCCCUAUGAUUGCUAAGGUAGACCGUUACCUGGCUGGGUGGCGGGCACGACUACUCUCGCCGGCUGGCCGGUUGGUGCUGAUCAAUGCUGUCAUCGACUCCAUCCCCAUGUACGCCAUGGCGGCCAUGCGUCUUCCGCGUGCGGUCCUGACUCGUCUAGACGUGCUGCGUCGGGCUUUUCUCUAG
rnacentral:rRNA from 1 species